UUUCUCUGUCCUCUAAUUGUGAUUAAAGUAAAAGUGACAGAAGGUGGAGAACCUUCUGUCACUUUUACUUUAAUCGCUAUUAUCUUGACCCAUGCACAUAAGAUUUCGGCCAGAAUCCAUGAAAAGCAACACGUCACACCAGCCAUAAAUUUCAUAGCAGAGGCACUAGUCUAGGCAGCCAUGAGGCUUUUUCAGUUAUGUCUGCGCUGGAGAAGGCAGGCUGAAUAAGCAGGGGGAGAAAGUAAACAAAGCAUAUUAAACUGUGAGCUGUGAUUUUAAAUUAAUUAUUCACCAUCACUAAGUUUUAAAUCACCUUUUAUUUUUUCCAUUGAGCCCUGUACAGUAUAUCAGAGUCGAAGCGGCCCCGGACUGCUUGCACCGAGCAGCAGUUUCUAGACCUGGAGAAGGAGUUUGACUACAACUGCUCCCUGUGAUGACGCAUCGAGUCUGACCAUUCAUUUGUACUCUCUGAGCAAAAGAAAACAUUUCUGCACACUGUUAGACUUCGCUGUAAUUUUACAGUUACUUGCUGCAAAAAAACCCAGUAAAAUACCAUAUUUAUUAUUUACGGUUAACUACUGUAAUAUCCUCUGCAUUAUGUUUUUUUUUUUUUUUUUUGAAGUUUAGAGUAACUUACUGUAUAUGGGAAUUUACAGUACGUUACUGUUUACGCAAAAGCAGUAGUGCUACUGUAAAUGAAGAAGACAGAUUUCUUGGAGUGCAAUAAUAUAAUUUUUUUUAAUGUCAUGGUAAUAACAGCACAAGUGUGGUGAUAUAAAUAUAAUUUUUAAACGAGAAAAAAAUAAAAUAUAUAAACUUUGCUUUCACCUCACUAAAUUUAAAUUAUUUCUCGCGUGCAAAGCCCACGCAACUGAGGUUUGUGUCGAGUGCGCCCUGCUGAAUGGAUCGCCAGCUGCGAGUUUUCUUGAGGUAGGCUAAGUACUUUUUACUCAACAAAUUUUGAACAAAUGUCUUUUAUAAGUUACUUUUACAACGUAAACCAUUACCAAUAUCAACUAAAUGCAGCUAAAUAUGUGAAGAAAGUAAAUAAGAUGUAAUUAUAAGCUAUUACUAAGAGGACAGUCUGAGGGAACUGUUCGUUUCCCUCAAAAACUGCCGCUUUCAUAUGAAACCCAUUAAUUUGUCAUACAAUUGACUGACUUCCUUUUCCAGUAUAUGCAACGUUACCCAGUCUAGUAUUUACACGAACAUUUUUUUUUACGACCAGUUAUGGUACAUUUUAAUCGUCAGUUAAAUGAAUAACGUUAAAUGUGUGUGACGUCGUUUGAAGUAGUAGCACUUUUCUCAAAGGCUCUUGCUCGGGCGCGAGCGCGCGCUCUCUCUCUCAUUCCCCCUCCUAAACUAAAAUAUAUAUAGGCCUAUAUAUUUUUGGAUUGAAUUUGAAUUUAAUUUUUAUAUAUAUUCAGUGUUGUUUUUCAUCUGAUUGUGUAAGUGAUCAGUCUAGCAGUCAUUCUAUAUCUGUGAUUUAUCAUGUACAUCAUGACAUAAUAUAUAGUCAUUAGUGAAUAAUCAUUGAUGAAAAAUAAAAAUGUUUCUUCUUUUUCUCUCUUUUCCCUGUGUCACCAGGAGCUAACUACACCCAAAAGGCUCUUUUAAAAGACACUGCACUUUGGCUUUUGACCAGAACACAGACAGACUGAGGAACAGACGUAGAAACGGACAUCUUUCAUCGCGAAGUCAACACGCAAAACCUGAACUAAAAACUAGGCACAUGCAACCAAUCUCGACCAAGAUGUCAGAUGAGCAGGAGGUGACGUUGCCUAUCACACCACGGAUGAUCAUGCUAGGUGCUACAGGAGCUCCAUCCUCUAGAACCGUUCCUGAGAGUCCCGCACAUCGACCUAGACCAAGAUGUUGUGAGGUUAUAGGAACAUACUUGUUUCAAGUAAUUGUUAUAACUUUUGAGAUAGGUAAUGGCUUAAUGUUUUGUUUUAACUACUAACUUAAAGAUCUGAAAUGGUUAUGUCAGAUGAGAGAGAGAGACAUCCAAAAUGUGUUGAGGGAACUCCAGGACCAGGGUGGGGAACCAGUAAGUUAUCAUAUUUAUGUGGUUAAGGAAUUAAUGGUUAAAAUAUGGUUAAAAUGCUCCUUAUUUUGAAUCUUUUUUUGUGAUAUCUGCCUAAUAAAUUAAAUUGUGAUUUAUUUUUUUUAACCUUGUGUAUUUGUGACAAAUA